UGUCUCGAGUGUGAGCGAGUGGAACUGGUGGUGGACGCUGAGUUUCUCUGUCCACCACCAGCUGAUCAAAGCCCUGCGCAGCCACCUGUGAUGCUCGAAUGAGGUUUGGGUGUUCCCGCUGUCCCUGUGACCCACUCUGGGACAUAGCCUGGAAAUUAUGAGGAAUUACUUAAGGACCUCUAUGUUAGGUAGAAUGUCCAUGGGAGGCUGGGUGGUCUUUUGGCCUAAGAACCCCUGACGUUUUGUUUUUGUCUCCAUCUUCUCUGGAGAUUUUUUUUUUGUUUAUUUUUUCUGUCCUCUUUGCCAUCUGACCUUAUCAUCACACUCAUCUUUAGAGAUUUAGAAUACGAUAUUAUGUAUUAGACUUACUUGUCUAUUAACUAUGUUAUGUAACUUCAUAUUGAUUCAUCUUUUUUAUUAUGUACCCAUUAUUAUUCUUGCCUAAUUUAAGUUGUUUUUCUUCUUUUGUAAAUUUUUAUUUGACACUUUAAGCUACAUGCUGUGUACAAAAAUGUGCUGUAGGAAUAAAUGCUGUUGUUUUUGUGGUC